AAAGUUCAUGGAAAAAUUUGGGUUUUUCAUGGAUGUUCUUCAUUGUUCUUGAUGUUCUUGCCAAGAACAAAAGGGUUUAGUGUUUUGAUUCAAAGUUUUGAUUUAUUUCAUAAAGUAUAUGUGAUAUGUUUUUUAAAUGUUUUAUCAUGUAUUUAAAGUGUUAGAUAUUUGUAUAAAUGAUGAUUGAAAUAAUUGUGAUUGAAUUAUUUCAAAAACUUAUCUUACAUACACUUGCAUGCUUUUGACAAAACUCACAAAUCAACACACACACCAACCUCAUCCUCUCCCUAAAACAGGCCACUCCCUCAAAGGGAGUACUUUUGGGGCUUUUAUGCAAUUACAUAAAGUUUUGAUACUUUUGUGUAUUUGCACUUUGGCCCAAAAGUUUACGUUUUUACGUUUAGGUCCAAAAACGCUAAAGGACAAAUUGUUUUGAUCCUUUAAUGAUGUUUUUGCAUUAUUAAAAGUUUGGGUUC
rnacentral:lncRNA from 1 species